UAGGGAAUCUUCCGCAAUGGACGAAAGUCUGACGGAGCAACGCCGCGUGAGUGAAGAAGGAUUUCGGUUCGUAAAACUCUGUUGUUAGGGAAGAAAAAAUGUAUAGUAACUAUAUACAAAAGAGACGGUACCUAACCAGAAAGCCACGGCUAACUACGUGCCAGCAGCCGCGGUAAUACGUAGGUGGCAAGCGUUGGCCGGAAUUAUUGGGCGUAAAGCGCGCGCAGGUGGUUUAGAAAGUCUGAUGUGAAAGCCCACGGCUCAACCGUGGAGGGUCAUUGGAAACUAAUAAACUUGAGUGCAGGAGAGAAAAGUGGAAUUCCUAGUGUAGCGGUGAAAUGCGUAGAGAUUAGGAGGAACACCGGUGGCGAAAGCGGCUUUUUGGCCUGCAACUGACACUGAGGCGCGAAAGCGUGGGGAGCAAACAGG
rnacentral:rRNA from 1 species